UUAUCUGAACCUUCGGGGAACGAUAACGGCGUCGAGCGGCGGACGGGUGAGUAAUGCCUAGGAAAUUGCCCUGAUGUGGGGGAUAACCAUUGGAAACGAUGGCUAAUACCGCAUGAUGCCUACGGGCCAAAGAGGGGGACCUUCGGGCCUCUCGCGUCAGGAUAUGCCUAGGUGGGAUUAGCUAGUUGGUGAGGUAAGGGCUCACCAAGGCGACGAUCCCUAGCUGGUCUGAGAGGAUGAUCAGCCACACUGGAACUGAGACACGGUCCAGACUCCUACGGGAGGCAGCAGUGGGGAAUAUUGCACAAUGGGCGCAAGCCUGAUGCAGCCAUGCCGCGUGUGUGAAGAAGGCCUUCGGGUUGUAAAGCACUUUCAGUCGUGAGGAAGGUAGUGUAGUUAAUAGCUGCAUUAUUUGACGUUAGCGACAGAAGAAGCACCGGCUAACUCCGUGCCAGCAGCCGCGGUAAUACGGAGGGUGCGAGCGUUAAUCGGAAUUACUGGGCGUAAAGCGCAUGCAGGUGGUUUGUUAAGUCAGAUGUGAAAGCCCGGGGCUCAACCUCGGAAUAGCAUUUGAAACUGGCAGACUAGAGUACUGUAGAGGGGGGUAGAAUUUCAGGUGUAGCGGUGAAAUGCGUAGAGAUCUGAAGGAAUACCGGUGGCGAAGGCGGCCCCCUGGACAGAUACUGACACUCAGAUGCGAAAGCGUGGGGAGCAAACAGGAUUAGAUACCCUGGUAGUCCACGCCGUAAACGAUGUCUACUUGGAGGUUGUGGCCUUGAGCCGUGGCUUUCGGAGCUAACGCGUUAAGUAGACCGCCUGGGGAGUACGGUCGCAAGAUUAAAACUCAAAUGAAUUGACGGGGGCCCGCACAAGCGGUGGAGCAUGUGGUUUAAUUCGAUGCAACGCGAAGAACCUUACCUACUCUUGACAUCCAGAGAACUUUCCAGAGAUGGAUUGGUG
rnacentral:rRNA from 1 species